UUAACACAUGCAAGUCGAACGAUGACUUCUGUGCUUGCACAGAAUGAUUAGUGGCGAACGGGUGAGUAACACGUGAGUAACCUGCCCUUGACUUCGGGAUAAGCCUGGGAAACCGGGUCUAAUACCGGAUACGACCUCCUGGCGCAUGCCAUGGUGGUGGAAAGCUUGAUGCGGUUUUGGAUGGACUCGCGGCCUAUCAGCUUGUUGGUUGGGGUAAUGGCCCACCAAGGCGACGACGGGUAGCCGGCCUGAGAGGGUGACCGGCCACACUGGGACUGAGACACGGCCCAGACUCCUACGGGAGGCAGCAGUGGGGAAUAUUGCACAAUGGGCGGAAGCCUGAUGCAGCGACGCCGCGUGAGGGAUGACGGCCUUCGGGUUGUAAACCUCUUUCAGCAGGGAAGAAGCGAAAGUGACGGUACCUGCAGAAGAAGCGCCGGCUAACUACGUGCCAGCAGCCGCGGUAAUACGUAGGGCGCAAGCGUUAUCCGGAAUUAUUGGGCGUAAAGAGCUCGUAGGCGGUUUGUCGCGUCUGCUGUGAAAGCCCGGGGCUCAACCCCGGGUCUGCAGUGGGUACGGGCAGACUAGAGUGAUGUAGGGGAGACUGGAAUUCCUGGUGUAGCGGUGAAAUGCGCAGAUAUCAGGAGGAACACCGAUGGCGAAGGCAGGUCUCUGGGCAUUAACUGACGCUGAGGAGCGAAAGCAUGGGGAGCGAACAGGAUUAGAUACCCUGGUAGUCCAUGCCGUAAACGUUGGGCACUAGGUG
rnacentral:rRNA from 1 species